rnacentral:rRNA from 1 species
GACGAACGCUGGCGGCGUGCCUAAUACAUGCAAGUUGAGCGAUGAAGAUUGGUGCUUGCACCAAUUUGAAGAGCAGCGAACGGGUGAGUAACGCGUGGGGAAUCUGCCUUUGAGCGGGGGACAACAUUUGGAAACGAAUGCUAAUACCGCAUAACAACUUUAAACAUAAGUUUUAAGUUUGAAAGAUGCAAUUGCAUCACUCAAAGAUGAUCCCGCGUUGUAUUAGCUAGUUGGUGAGGUAAAGGCUCACCAAGGCGAUGAUACAUAGCCGACCUGAGAGGGUGAUCGGCCACAUUGGGACUGAGACACGGCCCAAACUCCUACGGGAGGCAGCAGUAGGGAAUCUUCGGCAAUGGACGAAAGUCUGACCGAACAACGCCGCGUGAGUGAAGAAGGUUUUCGGAUCGUAAAACUCUGUUGGUAGAGAAGAACGUUGGUGAGAGUGGAAAGCUCAUCAAGUGACGGUAACUACCCAGAAAGGGACGGCUAACUACGUG